GUAGGGAAUAUUGGACAAUGGGCGGAAGCCUGAUCCAGCCAUGCCGCGUGGAGGAUGACUGCCCUCUGGGUUGUAAACUCCUUUUGUACAGGAAGAAACCUCCUCAUUUAUGAGUGAGCUGACGGUACUGUAAGAAUAAGCACCGGCUAACUCCGUGCCAGCCGCCGCGGUAAUACGGAGGGUGCAAGCGUUAUCCGGAUUCACUGGGUUUAAAGGGUGCGUAGGCGGAUAAAUAAGUCAGUGGUGAAAUCAACGGGCUCAACCUGUUAACUGCCAUUGAUACUGUGUAUCUUGAAUAUGAGAGAGGUAGGCGGAAUGUUGCAUGUAGCGGUGAAAUGCUUAGAUAUGCUACGGAACACCGAUUGCGAAGGCAGCUUACUAUUUCGUAAUUGACGCUGAGGCACGAAAGCGUGGGUAGCGAACAGGAUUAGAAACCCGAGUAGUCC
rnacentral:rRNA from 1 species